rnacentral:lncRNA from 1 species
GCUCAUCCCAGUAGUAACUGGGGACAAAACCACCUCUACAUAGCGUUAGGAUGUUCAUGUGAAUUUGGAACUGAACAGUCAAAUGCCAAAGAGCUCUCAAAUGGUUGACAGUGGUUUUAUUGUUCUUUGGAAAGUCUGGGAAAAGACAAUUGGUGAGCUGGGAUCUGGAUACCUCUUGGGUGGACUUUGUCCAGUUCUACAUCCAGAUAGGCGGAGAGAGUGGUGCGUGCAACAAACCUGACAGCCGAGAGGGGGGCGUCCUCCUCCAGUACAGCAACAACGGGGGCAUCCAGUGGCACCUGCUGGCAGAGAUGUACUUCUCAGAUUUCAGCAAGCCAAGAUUUGUGUAUCUGGAGCUUCCAGCUGCUGCUAAGACCCCUUGCACCAGGUUCCGCUGGUGGCAGCCCGAGUUCUCUGGGGAGGACUAUGACCAGUGGGCAGUAGAUGACAUCAUCAUUCUGUCAGAGAAGCAGAAGCAGGUUAUUCCAGUUGUGAACCCAACUUUACCCCAGGUAUUUUAGU